GCGUCCGAGUUGUAAUCUAUAGAGGCGUUUUCCGCGCCGGACCGCGUCCAAGUCUCUUGGAAUAGAGUAUCAAAGAGGGUGACAAUCCCGUACUUGACGCGACAACCGGUGCUCUGUGAUACGUUCUCAAUGAGUCGAGUUGUUUGGGAAUGCAGCUCUAAAUGGGUGGUAAAUUCCAUCUAAGGCUAAAUAUUGGCGAGAGACCGAUAGCGAACAAGUACCGUGAGGGAAAGAUGAAAAGCACUUUGGAAAGAGAGUUAAACAGCACGUGAAAUUGUUAAAAGGGAAACGAUUGAAGUCAGUCGUGUGAAAGGUAUUCAGCCGUCUCUGGCGGUGUAUUUGCCUUUCACGGGUCAACAUCAGUUUGAUCCGGUAGAAAAAGGCAGGAGGAAGGUGGCACCCUCGGGUGUGUUAUAGCCUCUUGUCAUAUGUGCCGGACCAGACUGAGGAACGCAGCUUGCCGCAAGGCCGGGGUUCGCCCACGUACAAGCUUAGGAUGUUGACAUAAUGGCUUUAAACGACCCGUCUUGAAACACGGACCAAGGAGUCUAACAUAUCUGCGAGUGUUUGGGUGUCAAACCCAAGCGCGAAAUGAAAGUGAACGUAGGAGGGAUGCGCAAGCAGCACCUUCGACCGAUCCGGAAGUAUUCUGAUGGAUUUGAGUAAGAGCAUAUAUGCUGGGACCCGAAAGAUGGUGAACUAUGCCUGAAUAGGGCGAAGCCAGGGGAAACUCUGGUGGAGGCUCGUAGCGAUUCUGACGUGCAAAUCGAUCGUCAAAUUUGGGUAUAGGGGCGAAAGACUAAUCGAACCAUCUAGUAGCUGGUUCCUGCC
rnacentral:rRNA from 1 species